CGUCGGCAGCGUCAGAUGUGUAUAAGAGACAGCAUUCAAAGAGUGCGUAAUAGCUCACUGGUCGAGCGUCUUUGCGCGGAGAAUUUAACGGGGCUAAACCUGACACCGAAGCUUAGGCAAUACAGCAAUGUAUUGGGUAGGGGAGCGUUGUAUACGCGGUGAAACAGUAGCGCAAGCGGCUGUGGAGUGUAUAGAAGUGAGAAUGCCGGAAUGAGUAGCGCGAAUGCAGUGAGAAUCUGCAUGGCCGAAAGCCUCAGGUUUCUGGAGGAAGGUUCGUCCGCUCCAGGUUAGUCGGGAGCUAAGGUGAGGCCUAACGGCGUAGCCGAUGCACAGACGGUAGAGAUUCCGUCACCACCAAAAGAGUUAAACACAGGGACACAUUUGAAGUCUCGGAGCCGGGUGUUGGUUCCGGUAGCGAUCGAGGGAAAUUAGUACCGAAGUCCGGGAUGGAAGAUGGCGAGAAAAGCUGUGUGUAUUUCUGAGGUGCCCGUACCGCAAACCGACACAGGUAGGUAGGAAGAAGAUUCUAAGGCCAACGGGAGAAGGGUUGUUAAGGAACUCGGCAAGUUGACCCCGUAACUUCGGAAUAAGGGGUGCUCACGAGAGUGAGCCGCAGAGAAUAGGCCCAGGCAACUGUUUACCAAAAACACAGGUUUGUGCUAAAUCGAAAGAUGACGUAUACGAGCUGACGCCUGCCCGGUGCUGGAAGGUUAAGAGGAGAUGUGCAAGCAUUGAAUCGAAGCCCCAGUGAACGGCGGCCGUAACUAUAACGGUCCUAAGGUAGCGAAAUUCCUUGUCAGGUAAGUUCUGACCCGCACGAAUGGCGUAAUGAUUUGGGCACUGUCUCAACAGCCCGCCCGGCGAAAUUGUAGUACCGGUGAAGAUGCCGGUUACCCGCGACAAGACGGAAAGACCCCAUGGAGCUUUACUGUAGCCUAAUAUUGGGUUUCGAUGUUGCAUGCACAGGAUAGAUGGGACACAGGGAAACAAUCGCUUUGGCGGUUGCGGAGUGGCCGUUGGGAUACCAUCCUUGCGAUAUUGGAAUUCUAACCUGCGCCUUUGAAUCAAGGCGGGGGACAUUGUUAGGUGGGCAGUUUGACUGGGGCGGUCGCCUCCUAAAGAGUAACGGAGGCGUUCAAAGGUUCGCUCAGCUUGAACGGAAAUCAAGCAAAAGAGUGCAAACGCAGAAGCGAGCCUAACUGCGAGACUGACGGGUCGAGCAGUAACGAAAGUUGGAGUUAGUGAUCCGGUGGUAUGUGAGUGGAAAUGCCAUCGCUCAACGGAUAAAAGCUACCCUGGGGAUAACAGGCUGAUCUCCCCCAAGAGUCCACAUCGACGGGGAGGUUUGGCACCUCGAUGUCGGCUCAUCGCAUCCUGGGGCUGUAUUCGGUCCCAAGGGUUUGGCUGUUCGCCAAUUAAAGCGGCACGCGAGCUGGGUUCAGAACGUCGUGAGACAGUUCGGUCCCUAUCCAUCGUGGGCGUAGGAGUCAUGAGAGGAGCUGUUCCUAGUACGAGAGGACCGGAAUGGACGCACCACUGGUGCAACUGUUGUCGUGCCAACGGCAUAGCAGGGAAGCGAAGUGCGGAUGGGAUAAACGCUGAAGGCAUCUAAGCGUGAAGCCCACCUCAAGAAUAAGACUCCACAAUAGACCCCUGGAGGACUACCAGGUAGAUAGGUCAUCGGUGGAAGCGCUGUAAGGCGUGUAGCUUGAUGAUACUAAUCGGUCGAAAGCUUCAUUUA
rnacentral:rRNA from 1 species